UACAGAGGGUGCAAGCGUUGUUCGGAAUUAUUGGGCGUAAAGCGCGUGUAGGCGGCUUUGCAAGUCGGGUGUGAAAGCCCUCGGCUCAACCGAGGAAGUGCGCCCGAAACUGCAGAGCUUGAGUACCGGAGAGGAUGGCGGAAUUCCCCAAGUAGAGGUGAAAUUCGUAGAUAUGGGGAGGAACACCGGUGGCGAAGGCGGCCAUCUGGACGGAUACUGACGCUGAGACGCGAAAGCAUGGGUAGCAAACAGG
rnacentral:rRNA from 1 species